rnacentral:rRNA from 1 species
GGGAUUGCCCUAGUAACGGCGAGUGAAGCGGCAACAGCUCAAAUUUGAAAGCYCCCCACAGGGCGCGUUGUAAUUUGCAGAGGAUGCUUUGGAGACGUGCCUGGUCUAAGUCCAUUGGAACAUGGCGUCGCAGAGGGUGAGAGUCCCGUACGCGGCCGGGUGCCUAUCCGUGUAAAGCUCCUUCGACGAGUCGAGUUGUUUGGGAAUGCAGCUCUAAAUGGGAGGUAAAUAUCUUCUAAAGCUAAAUACCGGCCAGAGACCGAUAGCGCACAAGUAGAGUGAUCGAAAGAUGAAAAGCACUUUGAAAAGAGAGUUAAAAAGCACGUGAAAUUGUUGAAAGGGAAGCGUUUGCGGCCAGACUUCACGGCGUCGCUCAACCGGGCUCUGCCCGGCGCACUCGUCGCCUGUGAGGCCAGCAUCGGUCUGGGUGCCUGGAUAAAGGCCUCGGGAAUGUAGCUCCCCCGGGAGUGUUAAGCCCUUGGCACAAUACAGGUCGCCCGGACCGAGGACAGCGUUCGCUAGGAUGCUGGCGUAAUGGCAGCCAACGGCCCGUCUUGAAACACGGACUGAGGAGUCUAACAUCUAUGCGAGUGUUUGGGUGUCAAACCCGUACGCGGAAUGAAAGUGAACGGAGGUGCGAGCUUCGGCGCAGCAUCGACCGAUCCUGAAGUUUACGGAAGGAUUUGAGUAAGAGCAUAGCUGUUGGGACCCGAAAGAUGGUGAACUAUGCCUGAAUAGGGUGAAGCCAGAGGAAACUCUGGUGGAGGCUCGCAGCGGUUCUGACGUGCAAAUCGAUCGUCAAAUUUGGGUAUAGGGGCGAAAGACUAAUCGAACCAUCUAGUAGCUGGUUCCUGCCGAG